rnacentral:rRNA from 1 species
UACGUAGGGGGCAAGCGUUGUCCGGAAUCAUUGGGCGUAAAGCGCGUGUAGGCGGCUCGGUAAGUCCGCUGUGAAAGUCCAGGGCUCAACCCUGGAAUGCCGGUGGAAACUGUCGAGCUUGAGUCCGGAAGAGGCGAGUGGAAUUCCUGGUGUAGCGGUGAAAUGCGCAGAUAUCAGGAGGAACACCAAUGGCGAAGGCAGCUCGCUGGGACGGUACUGACGCUGAGACGCGAAAGCGUGGGGAGCAAACAGG